GACGAACGCUGGCGGCGUGCCUAAUACAUGCAAGUCGAACGAGAGCGACCGGUGCUUGCACUGGUCAAUCUAGUGGCGAACGGGUGAGUAACACGUGGGUAACCUGCCCAUCAGAGGGGGAUAACAUCCGGAAACGGAUGCUAAAACCGCAUAGGUCUUCGAACCGCAUGGUUUGAAGAGGAAAAGAGGCGUAAGCUUCUGCUGAUGGAUGGACCCGCGGUGCAUUAGCUAGUUGGUGAGGUAACGGCUCACCAAGGCCGUGAUGCAUAGCCGACCUGAGAGGGUGAUCGGCCACAUUGGGACUGAGACACGGCCCAAACUCCUACGGGAGGCAGCAGUAGGGAAUCUUCCGCAAUGGACGCAAGUCUGACGGAGCAACGCCGCGUGAGUGAAGAAGGUUUUCGGAUCGUAAAACUCUGUUGUUAGAGAAGAACAAGUGCUAGAGUAACUGUUAGCGCCUUGACGGUAUCUAACCAGAAAGCCACGGCUAACUACGUG
rnacentral:rRNA from 1 species